rnacentral:rRNA from 1 species
UACGUAGGGGGCUAGCGUUGUCCGGAAUCAUUGGGCGUAAAGCGCGCGUAGGCGGCCCGGUAAGUCCGCUGUAAAAGUCAAAGGCUCAACCUUUGAAUGUCAGUGGAUACUGCCGGGCUAGAGUCCGGAAGAGGCGAGUGGAACUCCUGGUGUAGCGGUGGAAUGCGCAGAUAUCAGGAAGAACACCGACGGCGAAGGCAGGAUCCUGGGCCAGUACUGACGCUGAGGAGCGAAAGCGUGGGGAGCAAACAGG